UUGUAGAAUGCAUGAAUGAAAGGGC
rnacentral:piRNA from 1 species